UUUUCCGCAAUGGGCGAAAGCCUGACGGAGCAAUGCCGCGUGAGUGAUGAAGGUUUUCGGAUCGUAAAACUCUGUUGUUAGAGAAGAACAAGGAUGAGAGUAACUGUUCAUCCCUUGACGGUAUCUAACCAGAAAGCCACGGCUAACUACGUGCCAGCAGCCGCGGUAAUACGUAGGUGGCAAGCGUUGUCCGGAUUUAUUGGGCGUAAAGCGAGCGCAGGCGGUUUCUUAAGUCUGAUGUGAAAGCCCCCCGGCUCAACCGGGGAGGGUCAUUGGAAACUGGGAGACUUGAGUGCGGAAGAGGAGAGUGGAAUUCCAUGUGUAGCGGUGAAGUGCGUAGAUAUAUGGAGGAACACCAGUGGCGAAGGCGGCUCUCUGGUCUGUAACUGACGCCGAGGCUCGAAAGCGUGGGGAGCAAACAG
rnacentral:rRNA from 1 species